GGGAGGGGGGGCUAGCGUUGUUCAGAAUUACUGGGCGUAAAGGGCGCGUAGGGCGGCCUGCCAAGUCAGGGGGGUGAAAGGGCCCGGGGCUCAACCCGGGAACUGCCCUUGAAACUGGCAAGCUAGAGUCCGAGAGAGGAUGGCGGAAUUCCCAGUGUAGAGGUGAAAUUCGUAGAUAUUGGGAAGAACACCGGUGGCGAAGGCGGCCAUCUGGCUCGGUACUGACGCUGAGGCGCGAAAGCGUGGGGAGCAAACAGGAUUAGAUACCCUGGUAGUCCACGCCGUAAACGAUGUGUGCUAGACGUUGGAGGUCUUAGGCCUUCGGUGUCGCAGCUAACGCGUUAAGCACACCGCCUGGGGAGUACGGCCGCAAGGUUAA
rnacentral:rRNA from 1 species